GGAGUCGGCCGGACAGUCGCGAUACGCGCAAGCGCAUCGAGGAAAGUCCGGGCUCCACAGGGCAGAGUGCCAGGUAACGCCUGGGCGGCGCGAGCCGACGGAAAGUGCAACAGAGAACAAACCGCCGAACGGCAUCUUCGAUGCGCGUGGUAAGGGUGAAACGGUGCGGUAAGAGCGCACCGCGCGCGGGGCCAACGCCGCGUGGCACGGCAAACCCCACUCGGAGCAAGACCAAAUAGGGGAACGAUAACGCGGCCCGCGUUGUUCCCGGGUAGGUUGCUGGAGCCUGGCGGCGACGCCAGGCCGAGAGGAAUGACUGUCGCGCCGCAAGGCGUACAGAACCCGGCUUACAGGCCGACUCCGCCU
rnacentral:RNase_P_RNA from 1 species